ACAAAAACAAAAAACCUAGACAGGUCCCUCGGGUACCUGGAAAUGUGCUAGACAGGACUUGGGGGUUGACUGAGGAAGGAAAUAGAGGGUUAGAAACCCAGGUUGUUCCGGCUGUGCUACCUUAUGCAGAUCUCUUCCUCUUCUUCAGGUCUGAUGUUCUGCUCUGAGGACCUCUUCCAGCCAGCAUGCCGUGCCUAAGUGAGAAGAAGUGGCCAGAGGAAGGCCUACACCCGGUUCUCAGUACCAUGGAGGCGUGGGCCCGGACAAGGAGGGUUGUCGUGAGUUUUGAGAGCAGACUGUUCUACAAAACAAUGAAAAAUCCUGAACAAAGUAUUACUGGGAGCUGGGGAGAUGCCAGUAUCACCGAUUGUUUGCCAUGCAAGCAUAAAGACUUGAGUUGGACUGGAGAGAUGGCUCAGUGGUUAAGAACACUGACUGCUCUUCCAGAGGUCCCAAGUUCAAACCCCAGCAACCACAUGGUGGCUCACAACCAUCUGUAAUGAGAUCUGAUGCUUUCAUCUGGUGUGUCUGAAGACAGCUACAAUGCACUCAUAUAUAAUAAAUAAAUAAGUCUUUAAAAAAAAUGGAGAAAUGGCUCAGAGGUUAAGAGCACUGUCUGCUCUUCCAGAGGUCAUGAGUUCAAUUCCCAGCAACCACAUGGUGGCUCACAACCAUCUAUAAUGAGAUCUGGUGCCCUCUUCUGGCCUGCAC
ensembl:lncRNA LOC102554222 uncharacterized LOC102554222